CAGGGCUCCAAGCCGGAGGCUGCCUACGUUCCCACCCUCUUGCUCAAGCCAAGGCACCCAUCCGCCCAGCAAAGGUUUCAAGGCCAGGGACUGCGCUGGGGCCCUGUGUUCCCUUCCUUGGCUCUAUCCGCCCCCACCCCAGCUCACACCUGGGCUCCCGGAGGCUCUGGAGGGGGGUGGGGCAAGUCACGGGAUUUUCCCUAUGACUGAGCAGAAAACACUUGCACAUACCUUGCUCCUGGCUCCGGGUGGAGGGCUGCGGGAGGGAAAAUGCCGCCAUCAAGCCUGGGCCGGGACUGAUGUUUGCUACCAGCACACUGGCUGGAGGGGAUGGCGAGUCCAGCCCAGCUUCCCCUGCAGGCUGGGGGCACCUCAGGAAGGGGUCUGAGCCUCUGGGUCUACAGAAAGGAUGCGUCAAAGUUUGUCAAAGUUUGCCCUUUGCCGAUUUCCAGAGAAAGGAGAUGGAAUCUUCUACAACCCCAUUUUAGCUCCUUAGAAAAGAGGGUUGGCGAGGACACACAGCCUGGCUCACACACCCUGGCACCAACUACUCACCUGGAACAUUCCUGGCUUCUCCGGUUGUCUCAUCUCCCACCAUUCCUUCUUCAACAGAGGAAACUGAGCAGAAGUGUUAGUGAGAAGAAAAAAGAAACCAGGUGCAGAAGCGGGUCAUGAGAUUGCCAUGGAACAUGACACAGAAGCACAGCAUCACACAGAGACAGCUCCUCUCACUCCUGCCUCUAAAGCCUGUGCUCAUGUCUCGGCCUUCCUGGUGACAGAAUGAUCAUCCCUGUAUGCAACAAGUUUUCCUGACAUCAGUGUGUCCUAUACACCUUGGUUUCUCGAGGUGUCUCGCCUCCGGUAUCGUCAGGGAUUGAUGGAUGGAGAUGAAAUGAGCUCCUAUGUCCUCUCUCCUGCAGCACCGAUAUUGCCACGGGCUCUUGAGUUGGAGAAGCCACUGGGCUUCCCUGACCUGGCUUCCAUAAGGGGCUGCGUUCUCCUGCAGGCCCUAGAAGCCCUGGUCUUGCCUGCAGGUUACCCUGAGCUCGAGCCGGCUCUUCCCCGGGACGGGGUGCUGCAUUGUGCCUGAGCGUCCCUGGCUAGCUCUCAUUGUAGUCUCAGCACCAGCCUGUCUCUUCUUUCUUGCUGGCCUUGAUUUCUAGUAACUGCCAGAGCCCCUUAAUUGACAGUUCCUGGUCCUGCCUCCUGCCUCUUCCCAGGUGGAUAGAGUCCAUUCAGCAGGUGCACACUGUCAUGGAAUCAGGGUUCAGAGGAUAGCAGAGCUGGAGCCCCUUGUUCUAGUGAAAAGAAAACCAUCCAACUAGAGGAAGGGGUGUGACAAAGUUCCAGUUAGUAACAGAGCCCACACUGGAGCCUGGAUCCCCAGCUCCUACUCAGGGCUCUUUCCAUUCCUCAAAGCAUCCAGGCUCACCAGGUGACAUAACUGCUUAGAAUCACGUCUAGAAGGCUCUCCCCUGCCCAUCAGGGUCACCACUAUGCUGUUGUUAAGUGGUGACAUUUCUGGUGCCCUUCAAAUGCUGUGCAUGCAAGAAUCACUUGAACCCGGGAGGCGGAGGUUGCAGUGAGCUGAGAUCACACCACUUCACUCCAGCCUGGGCGACAGAGAGAGGUCUUGUCUCAAAGAAAACUAAACAAACACAAAAAGCAAGUGCUGUGUGUGUUCAAGAGGCCUCCUUCCAGGCGUCACCAGGGAUGCACUGGUGCUGGGCCAGGAAACACGUCCCACAGCAUCUUCUAGAAGACCAUCUUACAGGAGUUCACAAGAUAAAGCAGCAAACUCCGCACAGCAUGAUGGAGAGGAGCGGGAUUCAGAAGGCGAUCACUCGUGUCUGUGUGCAGUGUGCUGCGUCAUUUGCUCCUUAAAUAAACCAGCAAGAAAGGCCCA
rnacentral:lncRNA from 13 species